rnacentral:tRNA from 1 species
GGCCGUGUGCCCGAGUGGCUUAGGGAUUCGCCUGCAAAGCGAAGCACACCGGUUCGAUUCCGGUCACGGCCUCCA